rnacentral:rRNA from 1 species
GACGAACGCUGGCGGCGUGCCUAACACAUGCAAGUCGAACGAAGUGGCGAACGGGUGAGUAACGCGUAAUCAACCUGCACUUCAGAGGGGGACAACAGUUGGAAACGACUGCUAAUACCGCAUACUGAUGGAGGGGAUUGCGUCUGAUGAGCUAGUUGGCGGGGUAACGGCCCACCAAGGCGAUGAUCAGUAGCCGGCCUGAGGUGAGGAACGGCCACAUUGGGACUGUGCCACGGCCCAGCCUCCUACGGGAGGCAGCAGUGGGGAAUCAUCCUCAAUGGACGAAAGUCUGGCGGAGCCACGCCGGGGGAGUGAUGACGGCCUUCGGGUUGUAAAGCGCUGUUAAUCGGGACGCGGUACCGGAAUAGAAAGCCACGGCUAACUACGUGCCAGCAGCCGCGGUAAUUC